rnacentral:lncRNA from 1 species
UAACCCUACCUAACCCCACCUCAAAUAAAUUAUCCCGGGUUAGCUAACCCCAUCUAACCCCACCAAACUCCAACCAAACACUAUUUUCUAUUCAUAAUAACCCACUAUCUUUCUUAUCACACCUACUCCAACCAAUCAUUAUCCUUCUUUAUCAAUCAUUAUCUUCUUAUCCCACCUACCCAACCAAACACUAUUUUUCAUUAUUCUAGACUAACUCCAACCCCCAACCAAACACAAAAAAACUUUAACCCCACUUUAACCCUGAACUUAACUCUAUUCCUGGAAUAGCUACUUUUUCCUUAACCCCGAACCAAACGGAGACUAAGGUUAUAGGGGCGUGAGUGAACGUGGACCCGUGGCGGUGGCGAAAGUUGAUUGAUUGGGUCGAAGUUGAUGUUAUGUCUCUAGCUGUGAAUAGAGACGGAU